CUCCCUGUAGCGUAAUGGAUAGCGCGUUGGACUUCUAAUCUAAGGGUCGUGGGCUUGAAUCCCACCUGGGAUG
rnacentral:tRNA from 1 species